ACUGGAAUGAACAAUUCCAGUCUAGAUAUACUAAACUGGCGAAGGUCCUGCUACAUACUGCUGCCACCUGCUGGUGUACAUAGAAAUUACAGCACAAUAUAUAAGACAGGCCUAGAAAAUAAAUAAAAUCACAAUAAUGACACUAU